UUUUAGCCCUGAUGGCAGCGGCAUCCCACGUAGUGCCAAGAAGUAGAGCGUAUCUCAAUUCAUGACUACUACGUGGAUAUAGCGUACAGCAGGAAAUAGC
rnacentral:sRNA from 1 species